UAACGGCGAGUGAAGCGGCAAGAGCUCAAAUUUGAAAUCUGGCCCCUCCGGGGUCCGAGUUGUAAUUUGCAGAGGAUGCUUCGGGCGCGGUCCCCGUCUAAGUACCCUGGAACGGGUCGUCAUAGAGGGUGAGAAUCCCGUCUGGGACGGGUGGCCGUGUCCGUGUGAAGCUCCUUCGACGAGUCGAGUUGUUUGGGAAUGCAGCUCUAAAUGGGUGGUAAAUUUCAUCUAAAGCUAAAUAUUGGCCGGAGACCGAUAGCGCACAAGUAGAGUGAUCGAAAGAUGAAAAGCACUUUGAAAAGAGAGUUAAACAGCACGUGAAAUUGUUGAAAGGGAAGCGCUUGCGACCAGACUCGCCCGCGGGGGUUCAGCCGGUACUCGUACCGGUGUACUCCCCCGGGGGCGGGCCAGCGUCGGUUUGGGCGGUCGGUCAAAGGCCUCCGGAAUGUGUCGCCCCCCGGGGCGUCUUAUAGCCGGAGGUGCAAUGCGGCCAGCCUGGACCGAGGAACGCGCUUCGGCUCGGACGCUGGCGUAAUGGUCGUAAGCGGCCCGUCUUGAAACACGGACCAAGGAGUCUAACAUCUACGCGAGUGUUCGGGUGUCAAACCCGUCCGCGCAGUGAAAGCGAACGGAGGUGGGAACCCCCCCCGGGGUGCACCAUCGACCGAUCCUGAUGUCUUCGGAUGGAUUUGAGUAAGAGCGUAGCUGUUGGGACCCGAAAGAUGGUGAACUAUGCCUGAAUAGGGCGAAGCCAGAGGAAACUCUGGUGGAGGCUCGCAGCGGUUCUGACGUGCAAAUCGAUCGUCGAAUU
rnacentral:rRNA from 1 species